rnacentral:rRNA from 1 species
AGAUUGAACGCUGGCGGCAUGCCUAACACAUGCAAGUCGAACGGGAGUAGCAAUACUCUAGUGGCGGACGGGUGAGGAAUACGUAGGAAUUUGCCCUUAAGUGGGGGAUAACCCGGGGAAACCCGGAUUAAUACCGCAUGACCUCGAAAGAGCAAAGUGGGGGAUCGCAAGACCUCACGCUUUUGGAGAAGCCUACGUCGGAUUAGCUAGUUGGUGAGGUAAUGGCUCACCAAGGCGACGAUCCGUAACUGGUCUGAGAGGAUGAUCAGUCACACCGGAACUGAGACACGGUCCGGACUCCUACGGGAGGCAGCAGUGGGGAAUAUUGGACAAUGGGCGCAAGCCUGAUCCAGCAAUGCCGCGUGUGUAGGAAGAAGGGUCCUUCGGGUUAGUAAAGGCUACGUUUAAGGUUAGGGAAAGAAAAACUCGACUACUAACACGAGU